rnacentral:rRNA from 1 species
CAUUGGCAAUGGGUAAGAGAUGUGUAGGAUAGGUGGGAGACGUUGAAAUGGCCUCGCUAGGGGUGGUGGAGUCGUUGGUGAAAUACCACCCUUCUUUUAUCUGUUGUCUAACCACUACGGUGGGACAUUGCAUGGUGGGUAGUUUGACUGGGGUGGUCGCCUCCAAAAGAGUAACGGAGGCUUCCAAAGGUGCCCUCAAUACGGUUGGCAAUCGUGUGUAGAGUGCAAUGGCACAAGGGCGCUUGACUGUGAGACAUACAGGUCGAACAGGUACGAAAGUAGGGCAUAGUGAUCCGGUGGUUCCGCAUGGAAGGGCCAUCGCUCAAAGGAUAAAAGGUACGCCGGGGAUAACAGGCUGAUCUCCCCCAAGAGCUCAUAUCGACGGGGAGGUUUGGCACCUCGAUGUCGGCU